rfam:Flavobacterium sp. FPG59 Contig_151, whole genome shotgun sequence.
GCUUUGCGUGAGUGAUGGCAGUGGAGCUCUUUAUAGAAAAGCCUUUUUUGGGGCUCUUCUAUAAAAGCGGGAACGAACAGCACGACCCUCA